rnacentral:rRNA from 1 species
CACUACUUUUAUCAUGCUGAAAACAUCGGUUCUCCUCUGAUCACCGAAGUUAAGUAACGUCGGGCCUAGUUAGUACUUAGAUGGGUGAUCGUUUCGGGAACCUACAUACUGUAAUCA